CUUGUUUUGCAUUAUUCUUCAGUUUUUUUUAAUUAUUAUUCUUUGUAUUUUUUUAAUACACAUACAUCUGUAUUCGUUUUAGCCUGAAAUUUUAAUUAAAUUAGUUUGUUUUAUAAAAUGAGUUUUUUUUUUAUGCGUGUAAUUUCUGUAUUACUAGCGACACCAAAUGCCUUAUAUUUGUUUAAGGAGCCUGACCAGGUGAGACAUAACAAUGUUGGCUCAUCCAUUGGAAUGAAUUUAGUGGGACUAUCAUUUUAACUAACAUAUGAAAGACAGUGUAAACAUUUGGUAUCGCUAUUGGCACAGAAAUGACACUUCCCUUUUAAGCAAUGUAGCUGUAACACCCCAAAAGCAUGGCAAUUGUCUGUCAAAGACUCAUUUUACCACAUACUGUCACAUAUCCCUGAUUUAAUUCUUUUUUUUCAUGUACGUCUUAUUUGUAAUGAAGGCUAAUUUUGUUGGGCCCUAAAACAUUUUAAAUAAAUGUUUAGGGGUGUUGCUUUAAGUCAAAGCAAGUUCAAAAAGUAAAUUCACCAAGAAGAGUGUUAAAAAGUUAUUUUUUAACCUCUUGGGGGAAUAAUACCAAGUUCCAUUAGUUAUCGGUUUGAUGUUAAAAAUAAAACCUUUUUUUUUUUUUUUUGUAGCAUAAUAAAAUACUUUUAUGUUUUCUGGCAUUUUCUUUUUAUUAUUUGUUUGGUACCCAAACCAUUGUUUGUUUUUUUUAUCAAGUCAUAAUGUCAAUCAUCUCUAUUUUGUCUUGCCAUUUAUUUAAAUUUCCCCAGAUUUCCACAGUCAUGUGACAUUUCAGCAUCUUACCUGGAACGCUUCCUUGUAACUGUAACUAUUUUUGAAAACUGUCACUCUCUUAUAUGCCUACUAUUCAGCAAUGCAUCCCAUUUUAAAUGAUGAAAUACUAUUUACAUUCUUCAAACUGUGUGGCUUAUGAUCUUUUAUUCGGGUAUGCCAGCUAAACUGUGCUUCAUUAACUCUUCAAAAGAGUCACACCGCUUGCAGUCACGUCUCUCAUUCCCUUUUUUGUGGGGCUGGGUUUUUAGAAUUCUCAUGUUCACAUUGAAUCAUUACUUUCGAAAUGAAGAGGGGAUUUUCUGAAAUAUUUUCAAUGUGACUGCUUUAGUUUCAUUGCUGUGCCUCUAUGAUGGGAAAAGUUGUUUUGCCUGCCUUUUCUCAUUUAAAACGGACCCUCGUCUGACCAGGGGCCAAUUAAUUUUUAUUAAGACCAAACAUCAUUAUCAGGUGUCCGAUCAUUAUAUUCUGGUCAUCAGGCGGAUGCUGAAAACUUUUGGCAAUAGCAUCUGUACUUGAUCAGAGCCCAAAAAAGAAUGUUUUCUAGAGUUCCAGAAUUGGUUGAUGAUUACUUGUUAAGAACAGAGAAAAACAGGGAGCGAUUAAGUUGAAUUCCGUAAUAAGGUGUCAAGUUCCAGGG